GGAAUUUUGGACAAUGGGCGCAAGCCUGAUCCAGCCAUGCCGCGUGAGUGAAGAAGGCCUUCGGGUUGUAAAGCUCUUUCGGCGGGGACGAAACGGUCCGUGCUAAUACCACGGACUACUGACGGUACCCGCCGACACAGCACCGGCUAACUACGUUCCAGCAGCCGCGGUAAUACGUAGGGUGCAGGCGUUAAUCGGAAUUACUGGGCGUAAAGCGUGCGCAGGCGAUUUGUUAAGACAGGUGUGAAAUCCCCGGGCUUAACCUGGGAACUGCGCUUGUAACUGGCAGACUGGAGUGUGGCAGAGGGGGGUGGAAUUCCAAGUGUAGCAGUGAAAUGCGUAGAUAUUUGGAGGAACACCGAUGGCGAAGGCAGCCCCCUGGGCUAACACUGACGCUCAUGCACGAAAGCGUGGGGAGCAAAC
rnacentral:rRNA from 1 species